GGUGGCUUAGUGGUAGAGCACUUGCCUUGCAUGCAGGAGGCCCUGGUUUCGAGUCUCCAGCACCA
rnacentral:tRNA from 1 species